UCUCCGUUGGUGAACCAGCGGAGGGAUCAUUACAGGACUCGCAAGACUCCUUCACCCUGUGAACCUCACUACAAGCAUGUUGCUUCGGCGGGUGUCCCGGCGGGGGUUUUCCCUCGCCGGGGCGCACAGCCCGCCGGCAGCCUACUAUACACUGUCUCUUUGCGUUGGCAUCUCGAGAAAAAACAAACAAGUUAAAACUUUCAACAACGGAUCUCUUGGUUCUG
rnacentral:misc_RNA from 1 species